CUUGGAAUGGUAGGGGGUCCUUGAUGACUGGGUUGAGAACCCCUGCUCUAGAGGAUGUCUGGUAGAUCACCACUAGAGGUGGAGUAACACUGGCAGGUAAUUAUUGCAGUUUAUCAAAAACUUCAAUAAUUACCAUCGCAGGGUCAAGGGACCUGGGACACUGCACCCAGACCAUGUCAAUGAGCUGAUGUGGUCUUGGUGCCUAUAGUGUCCCUUUAACACCACUGAGCUGAAAUAACGACCCGCUAUCUGACUUUUGGAGGGUAUGUAACAAAUCUGCAAUUUUUGUAAACUAAAAAACUGACAUACUCUUUGCACAUAAAGCACUUCAGCAAGCAAAAAUUCUUUAGGUGUGUGGAGUGUUCAUUUAAUCUAAGGUUGUUUUGGUGCUUUAGUGUCCCUUUAAAUAAUCUGUGCCAAAAUUAUCUGUAUUCUUGGAAAGCAGUUUGUUGCUUGCUCCAAAUGUGAUCUGAUGGGUUAUAAUUUAAAACCUAGCCUUGUAGCAGAUUGUACACCUCUUAUCAGUGCUGUUCACCCCAGAAUAAUUCUAGUAUAUUUUUUUGGACUGUGUUGUUAUUGUUCCAUACAUAUUAAAUGUCAUAUUAAGAUGUAAUUUAAAUACUCUUGUUUCGCAGACUUGGCUUGAAUAAACAUUCAUUUACUUGUCUGUUGCCGGCUCUGGCCCUGUUGGUGUACUU